rnacentral:rRNA from 1 species
CCUACGGGUGGCAGCAGUGAGGAAUAUUGGUCAAUGGACGAGAGUCUGAACCAGCCAAGUAGCGUGAAGGAUGACUGCCCUAUGGGUUGUAACCUUCUUUUAUAUGUGAAUCAAAUGUUCCACGUGUGGGAUUUUGUAUGUACCAUAUGAAUAAUGAUCGGCUAACUCCGUGCCAGCAGCCGCGGUAAUACGGAGGAUACGAGCAUUAUCCGGAUUUUUUGGGUGUAAAGGGAGCGUAGGUGGAUUGUUAAGUCAGUUGUGAAAGUUUGCGGAUCAACCGUAAAAGUGCAGGUGAGACUGGCAGUCUUGAGUACAGUAGAGGUGGGCGGAA